AUGUUAUGGAUCCAAUUUUCCCUACCUAGAAAGCAAUCUCGUCAGAAAGGAAGGGGAACCCCAUCACUUGAGGCCCUCGCCCCCGAACUCGACAUCUUCCUCCUCCCUGCGCCGAUCCGACGACCCGCACGUAGCUGCCGCUACCGACUACCAUCCCCGACGAUUUCGUCGUGAUCUCCCCAUGGGCCUGAUAGCUGGCGGAGAGAAUAGGCAUCACCCACGUCCCUCAUCCUCCACCACUUCCCAUCCUCACAAUUCGGAACACCGAUAGCCAUGUCCGGCACUACGACAACGAUGACCAUGGGCACGCCAGCGUGGGACGGCGGAUGCUGGCCAAUGUCUUCAGGUUCGUGGCCUGGCUUCUCCUGCACGGCGGCUCACGCGCAUGUACCUUGCGGGCGGUGUAUUCAGCGACCAUGCUCAUGUCGAUGCACAGAUCGUGGAUCGAGUGCGGAUCCACCCGGGCUGUGGAAUUUGUUUCUUUUCUUGGGUGAGAAAUGCAACAGUUAAAAUCCAUGGAUUUUGAAGAUGGGUGAAUAUCAAUACCACCGAUAUCUUGAGGGAUCACACUCAUAUUCCAGUACUCAGAUUUUGCAUAACCAUCUUUCUCUUCUGCAAAAAUAAUCACAAUCGUUAAAAAUAGCAUACUUUUAUGUAAGCCCAAACUUAAGUCCACUAUCUUACCAAAAAUUACAAGUAUUAUUAAGUUGUACUUUUCAUGUUAAAGACUAACAAUUGUUUAUCAACCAGAUGACAGCAAUGAGAUACAGUUAAGCGCCAUUUGAAGAAAAACUGGCAGGUUGAGUGACAGCAACAAGGCUCUACGCGCUCACUUGACAAGACAAUCAGAGUAUCAAAAUGCUGCCGACAUGCUGUUCUCAAUUGUCUACUAACUACUAUGUUUGAAUCUGAUAUAUUCUUUCUAAUUAGGUAUGGGACCUUAGAAUUCUCGAGUUUACUCAAUCACUAUCUGAGCAUAAAGUUGCUGUUACCUAUAUGCUUUGUUGGGAUCAGAAAUUACUAACUGUAAAUGCCUGGUCUGCUCGAGUCUAGAAACAUUUAAGUUAUGCAUACCCAUUCCGAAGAGCAUGUAAGUUAAGCACACUUUCUUAUGCAUUAUUCCAGCAUCGUUAUUUUCUCAAAACUUCAUUCAGGUUUCAAACACAGAAGCUUAUAUUAACCUUUUGUUUUUGUUUUUACGGUAACUAGGAUUAUACUAUCCUUAUUUAGUUUGAUUGAACACUACAAAGUACAAACAGUUAGCGUCGAAUAAUUAUGUCAUGUUUAUAUCUUCAGGUGUGCUAAUAAAUGAUAUUUGUGCUAAUUUUGUUCUAGGUUAGGUAAAUAUUUUGGUGUAAAUAUGAGUACCGGUGGCUAAUGUUUAGCCAAGUAAUAUGCACGAUCAUGUGUUAGAUUGAAUUGGGUUUACUACAUUUCAUUUAAUUUUCUUGAUGUGUGUUACUGGAUUGAGUAGCCCCUGUCUUCAUGCCGCUAUGUAUCAGCAGCGAUGGUGUGGUCGAGAAGUCCUCAUGCCGCUGAAACAACAUAAUAAUCUGUUAUGCAGAAUUCUAAAUAUUUUUCUCGAUAUUUUUGUUCAGUAUUCUAGCAAGCGCCCUGCAUAUAUUUCAAAGUUACCUACCAUUUUUUAUUUUAUUAAUACCUCCCUCGGAACAGGUUCACAGGUCUACUUUUAUAAGCUCUGUUAAGCCUUUUACCUAUGACAUUAGUGGCCUUGAGAAGGAAGCACUUUUUAUGUUAUGCUUUUUGGAUGCUCACUGCUAGAUGAAGAACAAUUUUUUUUGUUUUAUUAUAACAAAAUUAUAUCAUGUACCGAGUUUUGCCUAUUUUGUAGUUGCUGAGGUGAGUGGAUGUUUCAUGCCAUUAGUAAUGGCCGAGAUAACAUAAUUUUUCCAAGUAAAAGCUAACUAUGCAAAGCUCUAGAUGUCCUCAAGUACCGAACUUCUUUCACUAGAUGAAUUAGUAGCUUCAAAAAAUAUGUAUGUUUAACUUCAUUGCAAGUACUCAAUUAGAGCAUGAUUUUUUCUUAACGAGAAUGACGGAGUAAUUGUUUGUUCACUUGAACUCAUGAGACUAUACCUUUUGAGAAUAUACCAUUCUAUUGGCCUGAUGCUAAAAAUGCUUUGAAAAUCAGCGAGAGCUACGAAAUAAAAUAUAUAUAGAAUUUCGAUCAAUAUUGAAUGGUGAAACAACCACAUGUUACCGCUAUGGAAGUACAUAUUUCUAUCUUUUUUCCUCUGAAUGUCUUCCUUGUUAUCCAUAUUGAGCGAGGUUGUUUCUUACUUGUGUUAUGUUCACAUGUAAGAGUGGAUUCACUAUGUUCACUUAUAUUUUGUUCAUAUGCGAAUAAAUUAACUUUAGGACCUUAGCAACGCACGGGCAUUCAACUAGUCUUCUUUACUAUUAUAUUGGAGUUGGUGGUCAUACAACGCGUUUGAUGAAGGAGAUUGAGACCAUCCUAUCCAUCCAAUUAUUUUCAACAUCCCCGUUUCAACUAUGAAUCACCGUUGGAUCAAAGCAAAUCAUUGCUUUCCUUCCUUUACUACCCAGCUCGCUAAUUGCCAUAUCAAAACAUAUCACUGCUUUCCUUAAUCUGUUACUACUCUAUAAAAUCGUUAUUUCCUUCCUUCUUUUCCUCAACAAGCUAGGAAAGUGAUUAUAUCUCCGGUAAUGCUGAGUUUAAUUUGUUACGGAAAGAAUCUUACGGACAUGCGGGGCAGGGACGAGUUUGCCUGUGCCGCGGUUGUGCACCCAUCCGUGCGCCGCGGCCCUUUCGUAAGCAUCGCACGGUUCUGCUUCCUUCCCUUAUCAUGCCUUCCUUUUCCGAUUAAAACAAAUUGUAAAUACCAUCCUAAUACAUGUCUCCUCCAUAGAAGGCGCUACGACGGCCCGCGACAUCUCCCCGCGAUGCCGAGGAUAAUGGCGGCCAGCGACGUCUCUCCACUGGCAAGCAGCUAGGGAUCGUUCGAUGCUAGACCUCGCGGGCCGUCGAGGUGUCAAGGAGCCGAUCGCUCGCCCGUUCCCAUCCUACUCGCUCGUCGUUGGCAGGAACCCGACCCGGCCUCCGGUGACAUGAGGUCCAUCCAGUCCAGGACGCCGCCGAGGCGCCGACUCGCUCCUGCUGAUCAACCUCGUCAGUCUGAUCAUCAAUGUCAACGCCAGCAUAGUGCGGUAUUUUGCACUACCCCAUUCGCGUUCUGGCCGGUUUUAUUUCUCGAGCUGAUGAUCCAUUCAUAGGACCAUGAUCAUGUAAGUAUAUGAGUAUAUCUCAUGCGUGCGGCCGGCCUAUGUCAGGGACAAGGUAACGAUAUUGCUUAUGUGCUCAUUCAUAUCAUCGCUUGAGCGCACUAAACGGCCGUGCAGUGGGCGACAUGGUGGACACUCCAGCCAGGCUGAUCGGCCGCCCCGUUGGCAUGAACAUCUCGGCGACAUUCGCCGUCAGUGUGCAGUAAUUUACUGGCAACACUAAUAUAUGAAUGUCCGUCCUGUUCGGCCAGAUCAAGUAAGUUGGCGAGGUGGCCAGCCAAGAUCUGCUGGAAGAAAAACUCCCACGAUGUCCAGCCAUCAGCGACUCCUUCCUGCCGCUCCACGUUCCGCCUCCUCCAAUUAGAAGGGUACCUGCCUUGUUUCGUUCCCCUCCACCCCAUCUGCCAGCAUGUAGGCAGAGCCUCAAGAGGAGUGGACUGCGAGUGUGCUUGUGAUGUCAUCGCUUGUGGUCGUGCUGGUGGCCGUCGCGGUCAUGGUGGUGUCAUAGAUGCGCAGCCGAGCGGAGGGAGGAGGUUCGAGAUCAUCCUAGUUGUUGGGCCUUCAGCGCCAAGGGAUUGGAGGCCGAGGAGGAUCUGCCCGUCUUGCUCAUUCUCUCCUUGCCUUCUUGGCAGCGCCAUGCACCAGGGUUGAGGUUGGGGUUGGUGUUCCACCGGCGGAGGUAGGGAAUAGAGCAUCGAAGGCCGACAUAGGGACUAGCGGUGGUCGCAGGUCGGGCUCCUCCGCGCUGGAGUCUUUGUGGUGAUGGGGGGCGCUCGGGGAUGCCGGGAGCCGGCAGCUUUCGGAGCUAGCGAUGUGUGUAGGCUGUAGCCGGCAGAUCGAGCGGCGCGUGCUCUGUGUAUAUAAGGUUUUCCGUGUAUAUCACGAUCACUAUCACACAGCUCACAAGCUACUGGGAUGUGAUUUUCCUCUAGCAGUGGCAGAUAAAGCAAUUUUCGGCAAUGAACUAUAUCACCAACAUGAGUGGUAAUUUAGUAUAUCUUUGCAGGAUUCGGCAUUCUUCUGGAUCCAAAUUUGUGUCCUUGAUCGAACUUCAUGGUUUUUAGUUUUACAAAUUAUAUUGUUUUUUGACAUCUACUAUUGCUUAUUGACAGCUAUGUAUGCAUUUUUGCAAAGCAACGCAAGCAUAGGAAAUGUCACCUCAAGAAUUGAAAAGGUGCAGAUAAGACCCGAAGCAUGUGAGUAUCUUUUGACUCAUUAGUUUUUCUCUCCUUAUUUAAUUCUGUAUUGGUACCUAACUUUAAUCCAAAGCUAUUGUUUAUUAAUCUUGAAUCGUGUAUGCAAUAAAACUGUGUAACCUGGAAAUAUAUCUGUGGAUUAUAUUUGGUGACAUACUAACUUAAAACUGUGUUGAUAUUGUAAAUCUUCCAAGUAUGCAUACA